GCUGGCGCUGUUUGAGCUAUUUUUAUCUAUUUUGUAUAUUUUAUUUUAAUUACUUUUAUAGGCUAGUGCUGAGUGCAUGCCUGUCUCCCGCCAGCUCUUUUACUUUAGAAGUUAGUUGGUACGAGUCAUGACCUGGCUCUAUAAAUAGAAUGGAUGAUGUAGUGUCUUGUCCCUUUUUCCGGUGUUGACCGCUGGUCAGUGGUUGAUUAGCUGGUCUGUGUGACCAAACAGUGAUUUAGAAAGUUUUUAUUUAGUGUUGUUCUGUGUGGACUGCCUGUAAGUUGAGGAAUUGUUUGUUUUACUUUAGUUAUUUCUAAUUAAGAUUUAUUGUUUUCAGAUGUGUUUUAUUAAGUUUAGAUGUAAACGGAUUAGUGCCGUGCAUCACAGGCUAAUUAGUUAGCCAUUGUCUAUGAUGGAACCGGAAGGUCCAUUAAUCUGGAUAGCGUCACAAACCCCCCCCCCCCUUCCCCCGAGCCAUCUCUAAUGAUCUCCUUGUUGCUGUUCUAUACAAUGUUUUAUUAUCUUAUGUUUCUAAAAGUAUUUCCAUUAAUAUUAUAAUGAUUAUUUUAUAUAUUUUUUAUGUUUGUUUAUUUUUGUAAUUGCAGGCUAUAAUUCCUGUUGUGCCUGUCUGCUUUUCUGCCGCUAGUAACUUACUGUUUAGUGUUGGGGUAAUUUAGGUUAUUUGAGUGGUUUAUUGUUUUGUAGUGGGUAUAUUUGUUUUAUUACUGUUUUUUUGUGUCAAUGUAAAUAAAGUGUAUAUAGUUUAUUUUAUAAAUUAAAGUUGGCUGUUUUCCUUUUAGUUAGCUAGUUUAGUUUAAUUGUGCUGUCUGAUCGCCCAGGCGAAGGCCGCCCUUUGGUCGCAGACCGGAGUGCACAGAUCGGACCCACACGGUAGAGUUACCAUCAACCUACCGGUUAAAAAAUAAAAUCUGUUUAGCAGAAAAAGGUCUAGUGCCUCCUGACCUGCUAACAGAAAACUGGUGUCAGAAGUGGGAUCUGUGCUUGAGUGAUCAGACGCACAUUGUUUUUGAGAUUAGGUUGUUGUUAGGUUUCUUUAGGCUUUCGUUAGGCAUUGCUAGGAUCGAUUAAGUUAGUAUUGGUUUUAGGACUUGGCAGCAGUGUUAAGAAAUUUAAUUUGUUGUAGGUUGAUAGGAAGUUGUUGGUAGAUGGAUAGUUUAAUUUGCUGUAGGAGUUUUGUUUAAUUUUUCUUGCUGUGGUCAGUAAUGAGUUGUUGUUUUUUUGGUAGUUAAGAUGUAAGGCUUAGAAGUGAGUUUUUAUAGGAUGUGUGUCUAGGAGCUUGUCGGUUUUGGCAUUUAGAGUUGUAUAGUAUUUUUAGAUAUGGGUAUUAGGUUGGUCUUUUAGGUCAGUAGAGGCUACUAGUGUUAGGGGACUAGGUCAGCAUUGUUAGGGAGCAGUAGCAGCAGGAAGCAUGCAGCAGUCUACGACAGUAAUCAUGGUGCCUCGUGCUGAUGCAACACUCCGGAAGUUCAAUGGAGACGGCCCAGUUGGAGAAUUGGAGGAUUUCCUCCAAAGCAUUGAGAGGUGUUGGCGACUUCAACAUCUCCAACGACCAGAGGACAAGUGUGACCUCCUAUAUGCACACUUGGGAGAGUCUGUGAAAGAUGAACUGAGGUGUCAUCCUCAGGUUUCCUGGGACAGUCCAGAAGAGAUUGUCGAUAUUCUUAGGUCUGAGUAUGGAGACAGAAGAAACAUCUCCGUAGUAAUGGAGGAAUUCAUAGGAGUACGGCAGCAACCCAGAGAAACGGUGCAAUCCUAUACCAUUCGUCUGCAAGCUGCAUAUGUUGCACUAGCAGGCAAGCUGCAAUCCAAGCAAGUGUUUGUGCAUGAGGAUGUAAUUCUCAGAGAACACUUUGUGAACCACCUAAGUGAUGAUUUGCUAAGGCGCCUUCUGCGGGAAAAGCUCUGGGAGCACCCCGAAACGUCUUUUGUUGCCCUGAGAGAGACAGCCAUGAGGUGGACUGAAGAAGGGGUCCACACCAGCAACAAUGUUUGUCAACAGUUGGCCAAUUUAUCCCACCAAGUGGAUCAACUGACAGCCAAAUUGUCAUCGCAUUUCAGGUCUGGUGGUAUUCGCACCCGGAGACCACUGAGAAAAUCCAGGAGGUGUUACUCCUGUGGUAUGCCAGGCCAUCUAGCCAGAGACUGCAAGUCCCAGAAGACACGCAUGCAAAUUAAGGGUCAGUCUCACUCUGCUCAGCGACCUUUAGGUUGUCAAAAUUGCGGAAGCUGGAGACAUCUGACCAGUAGUUGUCCCAAAGAUAACAUUGACAUAAUCCAGGUUGCCCCUAAACAACCAGAAGAGAGUCCAUCACAACCAUCUACGGUUUUCAUUGUCAAGACAGUGACGUUACCAACAGUGGAACCCAAGGUCAUACCGAUGGUGAAUGCAGUCGAUUCCACUGGAGGUGAAGAUAUGUUAAAUACCGUAACCUCAGAAAAUCAAGUUACCGACUCUGACCAAGAAGGCAGUCUUGCACCUGCCUCUGUGGACGUAGAAUGCCCAAUUUUAAUACAGCCGUGCAAAAAUUUAUCUGUAAUCCCAGAAGUAUGUUCAGAUUCAUUUGGCACAUGGGCGUCUCUAAAGGCCUUAACCACUACAUGUACCGGUACGAAAGACAAACUGGAAAAUAUUGAGAACCUAGCUCAAACAUUUAUUCGAAACUGUGUGGAGUCGAAAAUUCUUAAAUUUCUAUCAUUUGUUAUACUGUGUAUAUUGCUAUGUCUUUGAUGUAUUUUUUUCAUUUGAGUUUUUAUUUCUAAAUUUGCUACUGAUAAUAUUUAUGCAUUAUGUUCGCCGAGAAUGUAUUUGAGCCUGUGGCUGUAGCUCUGUGUUGGUCUGUGUGACCUUGUAGAAAUCUGAAUAGUUUUGAUAAGUCUGUGUGACUAGGUCUGCCAAACCUUUGUGGUUUCAAUUCCCUUUAAGCCUGUGUGGUUUCGUUUCCCCUUCAAACCUGUGUGGUUUUGUUUCCUCUUAGCCUGGGUGGCAUACUUGUACUGAGAUUUGCUGACCAGACAUGUUUUGCAUUGUCUAUGUCUGAUGUCAAUUGAAGAUUCUUUGAAUAUAUGUAUGUAAAAUAUAAUGUAUAUAAUAUUUUUUUAUUUCUAUAUUUUGAUGCACUGUAUUUCUUUUUUUCUUGCUAUGUCUUUGAUUUAUGCAUUUAUGUGACGAUUCUCACUUUAGUAUUUUAUUGGCAGAAUAAUUGUGUCCUGUUGCCUGUUUUGCAACAUGGAAUUUUCAGAGUGUGCAUGAGUAGGUAGUCCAGAGAGUUAGGUUGUCUGAAAUGGAUAGUGGUAUUGUUUUACGGGUUUUUAGAACUUGCUGUAGAUGUUGAAUUUGUGUAUUGUGAUAGCACUGUAAUUUUGUAGUAUUAUUGUUUUGCGGGGACGCAAAAGUUUUGAGCGGGGGUGAAUGUGAGCUGGCGCUGUUUGAGCUAUUUUUAUCUAUUUUGUAUAUUUUAUUUUAAUUACUUUUAUAGGCUAGUGCUGAGUGCAUGCCUGUCUCCCGCCAGCUCUUUUACUUUAGAAGUUAGUUGGUACGAGUCAUGACCUGGCUCUAUAAAUAGAAUGGAUGAUGUAGUGUCUUGUCCCUUUUUCCGGUGUUGACCGCUGGUCAGUGGUUGAUUAGCUGGUCUGUGUGACCAAACAGUGAUUUAGAAAGUUUUUAUUUAGUGUUGUUCUGUGUGGACUGCCUGCUAUAAUUCCUGUUGUGCCUGUCUGCUUUUCUGCCGCUAGUAACUUACUGUUUAGUGUUGGGGUAAUUUAGGUUAUUUGAGUGGUUUAUUGUUUUGUAGUGGGUAUAUUUGUUUUAUUACUGUUUUUUUGUGUCAAUGUAAAUAAAGUGUAUAUAGUUUAUUUUAUAAAUUAAAGUUGGCUGUUUUCCUUUUAGUUAGCUAGUUUAGUUUAAUUGUGCUGUCUGAUCGCCCAGGCGAAGGCCGCCCUUUGGUCGCAGACCGGAGUGCACAGAUCGGACCCACACGGUAGAGUUACCAUCAACCUACCGGUUAAAAAAUAAAAUCUGUUUAGCAGAAAAAGGUCUAGUGCCUCCUGACCUGCUAACAUUUAUUUAUAGUAUAUUUUGUUAACGUAUAAUAACGUAUUUUCGUUGUUUUAUAUCGGGGGAAGGGGGGCAUCAUGAGGAGAUGCCGCACUAGGCAUCAAACACCCUAGCUACGCAACUGUAUAGACGUAUUCAACAUGAGAGGAAAUAAAAUAUACUGAUCAUAGACAUAAAUUAUAUCUAGACUGGAAAUCGGAAACAAAAUCUUAUCCGCGAUUGAUCGAUUCACAGACCUAUAUAUAUAGAUUUUUAUGUGCGUAACUCUUUUUCAAGCUGUAAGGGAAGUAAAAAAGUUAAGUUCCCCUUUCAGACCUUGUGGUCUAUAGGGCAGAUGAUGUAAAGGUCAUCUGAUUCUGUGGCCUACGGUUAACAAGGGUUUCAUGUGGCCAGCACAACGACCAACCGCCUUUACUUUUCCCCAACUAAUGUCAGGUACCCAUUCUUGCUAUUGAGUGUGAUCUAAAUAGGGAAUAGAAUUUUUUGAUAUACUGUAUGACUUCGCUACACGCAAGGCUCGUAAAGUAAUUCUGUACGUAGUAAAGGAUGAAUAGAAUGCAAAGACGAAUGAAUUUUCUAAUAUAAACUCUUAAGUUUCACUUAUAAUCCGUAUCCCUACCGAAACUGGGCCCCGCGAAUUCCGUUUCACAUAGGGUCCCACAAUGUUUAAGUCCGGCCCUGCUAUUUAGUGACGGGUGAAUACAGAGUAGGUUACUUGUUCUCUCCCCCCCCCCCUCUUUUUUUAGCCGCUACGUGAGGUAGAAAUAAAAAAGAGUGAUCUUUCUUGGUCACAACGGUCCGACCCUGCCAUUUACUACUUGUUCACCCCCACCCCUCUUUUUUUUCCUGGCGUAACUCUAGUUCGUCCGACUUGCAGAAAUAAAAGAGUGAUCUUGCUUGCGUGUCCAAACUCUUAUAUCAUAUGAAAAAAUUAUAUAUAUAGAUUUACGCAAAUAUAUAGUAUGAAACAAAGCUAUUUCCUGUUGGUUUCCAUUGAGUUAAUGUUUCAAAAAUCAUAGAUCGAAAUAAUUCAUGUCUGCUGAUUUUUAUCAUCUUAUGUACAUUUAAAUAGAUUGAUUACCUAGAUUAUGUAUCUAAAAAUUGCAAAAUAAUAAUUAUGAGACGAAAAUACUCUUGUGUGAUAUUUGAUGUUCAAUUACUAGAUCUAGAUCUAAACAUUAAAUUAUAUGUUACAUAGGUUAGGGUUAAAAAACAACAACAACCUAACUUCAUACUACUAUUUUACAAAAUAACGCAUUGAUUCAACUUUUUAAAUAAAUGUUCACAUUUUUUGUAGUGUUAAAAGAUCUCCAUGUCCAGUCUAGAUAUUGUUGAUAUGGUGCGCAAAGGUGCACGCGUUCAAUAUAAUAAAGUAUUGUUCUCGGCCAUGACACUAAUUGUGAUUGUUUGUUUAUUGCUGACUGUGAACAUCAAUCUUAAUUAACAGAUAUAAUAUAUAUAAGUCUAUGAUACUGAUAUUUCAAUGACGCGCUAGUGUGCACAUGCAUAUAAUAGGCCUACCAAUAUGUUAAAAGUUCUGGAUCCGCUAGUAGUGUAGGCCUAACUGGUUUAGCAUGCAUGAUUAUUAAGAUUCAUAUAUCAUUUAUGUUAGUCAUACGCUUUGUAAAUUUCCAGUAUUGCGUCUCAUUUAUUGCUUCGCUCAUAUACUCUUCAAGGAAUUGUAGCCCUAAUCUAGAAUCGGAUUUGUGAAUAUGUUUUAUUGGAAAUCACGAUUAUAUUUUUUUGUAUCCACAUCGUUGCAUUGUGAUAAACACAGCGCAUUGUUUCUAGUGAUGGGGUAACCAUGGAAUUAUAGUAUAGGGCUAAUUCUAUGGGGGUAACAUUAGAAAUGUCGUUAACAGAAGUCUCCUGUAGAACUAAAAAUAUCAAAAAUUUAAUUGCAAGACAGACGAAGAACGAAAUAAAUAUAGUGUGUGAAAAUGUUUAUUAAAAAUACAUAUAUCAGAACUCGAUUUUCUUAAGAUUUAAAAUUUUAGGGAAAUCUUAUUGGAGACCUUUUGGCGGCCCUCAGUUGGUGGUGCCCAAGACAUGAUAGCCUCCCCUCCACCUUGACACGCCAAUUUAUACUAUUGAUCUGGCUAGAAUGAUAACGAAAAGGUUCUCACAGACUCCAAUAAUAUUUUUAAACAUUUUAUUUUUGAAACAAAAUAAAUUGAAAGAAUUUAAAAUGAAAAGAAGGACAAAGAUUUCGAAUGACAAGAAAAUAAUAUUUCUUCUAAAAAUUCAUUUUACGAUAUUUAUGCAUGGGAUUAAAGGAAGGUUUUGGGGCCAGAGUCUUGUUCGAGCCUCUUGAUAUAUUAUGCAGCUUUGAAGAACAUGGUCAGCAUUCUCUUGUGAUGCUCCACGAGGGCAGGUCUUGCUUGUCCCGAUAUUUGUUGUCUCAUUUUGUUAUGUCCGGAAAAUUAUGCGUUGGUCAUGUCGAGAUAGCUUAUAGCCUAAUAGGCGUCCUUUUUCUUGUAAUUGGGAUGUGAACUGGUCCAAUAUUCAUUUAUUCUACACUCUAUUAUUUUCAUAUUUUCUUCUGGGUAAAAAAGGGAUUUUCAUUUGUUUUUUUCAUUUAUCAAUACACGACCAUUAUGUCUAUAUGACCAUUAUGUCUCUAUGACCAUUAUGUCUAUAUGACCAUUAUGUCUCUAUGACCAUUAUGCCUAUAAGACCAUUAUGUCAAUAUGACCAUUAUGUCUCUAUGACCAUUAUUUCUUUAAGACCAUUAUGUCUCUAUGACCAUUAUGUCUAUAUGACCAUUAUGUCUAUAUGACCAUUAUGUCAAUAUGACCAUUAUGUCUAUAUGACCAUUAUGUCUAUAUGACCAUUAUGUCUAUAUGACCAUUAUGUCAAUAUGACCAUUAUGUCUAUAUGACCAUUAUGUCUAUAUGACCAUUAUGUCAAUAUGACCAUUAUGUCUAUAUGACCAUUAUGUCUAUAUGACCAUUAUGUCUAUAUGACCAUUAUGUCAAUAUGACCAUUAUGUCUAUAUGACCAUUAUGUCUAUAUGACCAUUAUGUCAAUAUGACCAUUAUGUCUAUAUGACCAUUAUGUCUAUAUGACCAUUAUGUCUCUAUGACCAUUAUGUCUAUAUGACCAUUAUGUCUAUAUGACCAUUAUGUCAAUAUGACCAUUAUGUCUAUAUGACCAUUAUGUCUAUAUGACCAUUAUGUCUAUAUGACCAUCAUGUCUGCUUUUUCAUUGCCUUGUAAUUCAAUGAUAUUGUGUACGAAUCUGGACGGACACUAGAUCUAUAUUUGGAGGCGUCACCGUUUCUUUCCAUUCCGACAUGUCUUUUGCUUUAACCAGUCUUUUCGAUGGCAGGCCCGUCUAUUAUUUGAUGUUGUCUUUCAUAGGCGUAGCCAGGAUUUUUUCUUUUCGGCGAUGGGAUAUUUUUCUCCCUCUCCACCAUAUAUAAAGCUCCUCCUUCGUGAUCUUUCAGGCCCCUCAAUCUAUGCCCUAUGAGGGUUCCACCAGGGCUUCAUCUGGGCCCCACUGAUUUGCGCUCUGGAAAAAUCUUGGGGCUAGACAAUGGACCAGUUUUUUAUAUUUGUUUUUGAAGUGUCACGUACUAUAUUAGAUCUAGAAAAUUUAAAUUGGCUUAGAAUAUAUGCAGAGUUCAUACACACGCGGCGCAAACAAACACGCACAUAUAUCAUAUAGGCCUCUAUGUCGUUAUAGUAGACACGUUUUGAACUACUUUUUGACUUAUAAACAUAAAAUGUUAUGAAAUGUUAUAGUUAAAAAUUACAAUCCAACUUAUUUAAUAAAGUAUAAUAUAAAAUAAACUCAUCACAAUUUCGAUUUCAGCAUUUGUAAAACUGUAAAUGCAAAGAAAGAAAGAAGCAGUAAAACAUAGGAACCUAGACACAUUUUUAUGAAAAUAAAAUAAUUAAAAACAGCAAUAUUGUUUGUAUUAAUAAAAUCUUUGCUCAUGGACAUGAUCUUUGAAUAUCUCACUAUUGUAUUAUUAUUUGUUGUUAAAAAUAUAUCUGGAUAGUAGGCUACUGGUUAGUAGGCCUACCAGAUAAUGUUGUACAUUUGAUGCCUAUUUUUUUACUAUAUUGUUAUAAUUUUUUAGUAAAAAAAGCAUUAAAAUAUACUUUUUUUUUUGCAUUAAAAUGCUCAAUUUGUGUGUUUUCAAUGUUAUUAACUAAUCUGUUUUCACUUAAAGAUUGUAAAAAAAAAAAAAAUAUUUUUUUUAUAUAAUGUUCCUCACGGGCCACUUCCUGCUACGUACACUGCCAGUGUACAUCUCACAGAAUCGUUACUAUAUGGAAUUUUUCAAAAAUUCUAUUUGCAGUGUCUUAGUUUGACCAAUAGAAAUUGAUAUUUAAUAGAAAAUGUAUAUUUAAUGCAGUAAUAAAGUUUUGGUAGUUAAUGGGUUAAUAAUCUAGAGGAGUCUAUCCGAGCCAACAUCAAGGUCAUGUUUUUCUUUUACCUCCCCUCGUAUUAUGUUACGUAAUAACUUUCUGUGCCCACUGAGAU